GUAGUGUGAAUGGUUAACAUGCUUGGCUGCUAACCAAAAGGUUGGAGGUUCAAUUCCACCC
rfam:Loxodonta africana unplaced genomic scaffold scaffold_58, whole genome shotgun sequence.